rnacentral:tRNA from 1 species
GAUCGCGUAGCUCAGUUGGCAGAGCAUUGGGCUAGUAUUCCAAAGGUCGUGGUUCGAUUCCCACCGUGGCCA